CAGUCACCAAGGGAAGACUGUCUUUCCUGUUCUGUGACCUACACAGGAUUUUUUCCAUCAUGAACCUCAAGGAAAGUCUUGUCUUCCUAGUCUCCAGUGAAAGGGAGAGGAAAAUGAAACUGAUAGGAGAAGGAAGUUGACAAGUAGUGAGAAGCGCUAAAGAAGGGAGCUGAAGCAAACCGCUGGUCUGAUCUGAGGAUGAAAUUCACUGAAUCCAGAGAACACCUGAGGUUUUGGGGCUCCUCCCUCCCAUCAUACACUGGAGUGAUUCAAGAUCGUGUAUGGGAAAUGAUCAUUCUAUUUACACUAUGUCAUUUAAACCUUCCUGUUGAGGAACAGUCUUGACUUCUCUCAACAGUCGAUUGGAUCCACAGGAUGAAAAAUGCCAAUGUGUGAGUAGAGAUUCGAACCCUAUUGCUAAACACUAGAUGACCCCUUAGGCUAUUUAUCAAAAGGAUCUGCACCUUUUCUAAGCCUAAACUCAAGAGUCAAUGAUUACUCAUAUGCCACAGUCUUUUCUCCAUACUUUGUCCUAUUUUUUUUUCUCCUACAAAAACCAAACACCUUAGCCCAGCAUAGUCAUGCAUGCCUGUAGUCCCAGCUACUUAGGAGGCUGAGUUGGGAAGAUUACCAGAGCCCGGAAGGUGGAGAUUACAGUGAACCGAGAUUGUGCCACUGCACUCCAGCCUGGAUGACAGAGUGAGACCAUCUAUUUUAAAAUAAUAAUAAUAAUAAAAAAAUACUAGGCCAGGCGCAGUGACUCGAGCCUGUAAUCUCAGCACUUUGGGAGGCCGAGGUAGUCUGUUCACCUGAUGUCAGAAGUUUGAGACCAUCCUGGCCAACAUGAUGAAAGCUCGUCUCUACUAAAAAUACAAAAAUUAGGCAGGCAUGCUGGCGGGUGCCUAUAAUCCCAGCUACUUGGAAGGCUGAAACAGGAGAAUUGCUUGAACCCAGGAGGCGGAGGUGGCAGUGAGCCAAGAUCACGCUAUUGCUCUCCAGCCUGGGCAACAAGAGCAAAACUCUGUCUUAAAAAAAAAAAAAAAAAAAAAAAAAAAAAGAAAGUAUAUAUGUGUGUAUAUACAAUUAUACA
rnacentral:lncRNA from 1 species